UCUCCGUAGGUGAACCUGCGGAGGGAUCACUACGGGCUUGCAAAAGCUCUGAAACCACUGUUUAUCUAUCUGCAUCUGCUUCGGCGGGCGGACCCAGGGCGGGGCCGUAGCCGCAAGGCGCCCGCCGAAGACCCCUAAACCCUGUCGUCUUGAGAAUCUCUGAGUAUCAUAUUAAACAGAAAACAACUUUCAACAACGGAUCUCUUGGCUCUG
rnacentral:misc_RNA from 1 species